rnacentral:rRNA from 1 species
UACAGAGGUCUCAAGCGUUGUUCGGAUUCAUUGGGCGUAAAGGGUGCGUAGGCGGCGCGGUAAGUCGGGGGUGAAAUCUCGGAGCUUAACUCCGAAACUGCAUUCGAUACUGCCGUGCUUGAGGACUGGAGAGGAGACUGGAAUUUACGGUGUAGCGGUGAAAUGCGUAGAUAUCGUAAGGAAGACCAGUGGCGAAGGCGGGUCUCUGGACAGUUCCUGACGCUGAGGCACGAAAGCGUGGGGAGCAAACAGG